GGAAGUGGGCCCUCCGUAGCCGCCGCGCAGGCAGAGACUGUGAACCACCGCAAGCUGCGUCGGUCAAGAGCCGGGUGGUGAGCGUUGCGGAAAAGGUGCGCCGUGAGUGUGUCAGGU
rnacentral:ncRNA from 1 species